rnacentral:lncRNA from 1 species
UUUAUUAAGGGAAAUUAAAAUUAAGAGUCUUAAAAAGGUUUAAAAAACACAAAUUCUUCUUUUUCCCUUCUCCUUUUGUCCUCUAACCUUGCAAGGAAUGGUAUGCCUUUUGCAACAAGUUUAGAACCCUUUUCUAUUUUCGGUUCAACUAUUGGUUUAGUUACCUCAUCAUUCUACACAGGCUCAUCUUUGUGAAAGGUGUCAUACACAACAUCAUCGAAUUCUCGCUCUUUUGUCUCCUUUUGAAUGGGUUCAUUUAGGUUUUCAAGAACUGUAUCUAAAUAGAGUGCAAUUGUUUUCACUUUCUCCUUCCUAUCCGUAUGAGGGUUGUUUUAUCUGUUGCUAAGGGUGCCUGUACCAACUUGCCUUUGCAUCAUAC